rnacentral:lncRNA from 1 species
GGGCAGAGAGAGGGAGACACAGAAUCCAAAGCAGGCUCUGGGCUCUGAGCUGUCAGCACAGAGCCCGAUGUGGAGCUCGAACCCAUGGACCGUGAGAUCAUGACCGGAGCUGAGGUCAGAAGGUUAACCAACUGAGCCACCCAGGCGCCCCAAGAAAGAGAUCUUUAAACAUCCUAAUUCCAGAUUUCCGUGAGGGUAUUGACGUGUUCCCUGGAAAACUGGCUCGAUCCCUAGCUUCAAGAACUAAAGCCUGAGAUUCCAAUCAGACAAGCAAUGAAUUUUAUUCUACUGGCAUCAGUUCAGAUGUGGGCAGAGUUAGGAACAGAUCCUCGCCUGAUUUGUUGCAGAAGCCAAACUGUGUUUCCAAGGGCGCACGUUCGGAACCUCUGGAAGGCAUCUAGUCACCGUUACGAGGAGCCUGGGAAAGACAAGCUGGUAGACUCUGGGUCUCUCUAAGGAGACACUCAAUUUAGAUUAGGAGACAGUUGUUGGUGUCAUUGGCCCAUUCCAAAUGAAAAUAAAACCGAAGAGCAACUCA